rnacentral:lncRNA from 10 species
UCUUCUCCUAGUUUCUUUAUCAUUGUGGACUGACGUUUUUGCAAAGUUCAUUUUCAGUUUCUAUUUUAUUUUUCCAGUGUUGGGGAAAGGUCUCAAGUAAGACAGAGAAGGCAGAAAUUCACCAGCAAAUCCAAACUGGGGAAAUCCCAGAGUUGAAGACAAGAAACUUAAGAAAACCUUACAAAAAGAAACAUGCUUGGGGCUACUCUUGUUUGCUGGUAGAAUGAUCUGUAGAAAAUUCUGAGAUAAGGUGUUAAAAGUAAGAAAAUGCAGGCAUAAUUAUGAUCAGACUGUCAACUUUCCCCUUGUCUAAUGGGAGCCAAAGAAUGAUGUUUUAAUGCUCAGCUUCUAGAUGAAAUAUGUAUUAGCAAACUAUUCUAGGCCUUUAUAUUCCUUUAUUUUUGUUUUCAAAAAUUCCCAUGACAAUAUUCUGGCAUCCAUGCCACAUGAGGAUACAUUUCGUGCCAAAACAAGCUUAGGAAAUCUGCAGUUUAAAGGAGGAAGGUAUGCUGCAGCUGAGAGCAGACGCUUCUAAGGCAUCUUGGGAAGGUUGCAUCUGCAGUCUCAAGAAAUAUUAAAACCUAUUUUAAUGUAGGCAUUGUUCCUGAGAGUAGCUUCAAUAAGCCACGUGGAUGCAAUUAUCCAGCUCAGGGGUUGUUUCUUAUGGAAUCCAACCUAUGACUGUUGACGCCAGGAGUGGUCCUGGGAAGGAGACUCUGAAAAUUUUGGAGCUGGCUGGGAAUAAGAGUCCUGUUGCUGUUGAUAUCUGAGAGCAACCUUCUGCCAGGAUUUGCCCUGCCCACAGGCGUUAGCAUGGACUUGAUGACUGCGGUGUGGCUUUUACUUUCUCAAUUUUCCAGAGCUCAUACUCCUCAAACUCCAGAGGAAUAAGAUGGCCAGCAGUCAGGAAGGAGAUUUGAAUGUGGAGCACAGCAGAGUGAGCACGAGCUGAAACCCUCCAAGCAUAUUUUCAUCACUGUAUUGCCUGUGAACAUCUUCAGAGUGUGAUGACUCCUACUUCCUCUGAAUCUCAUUUCUUUUUCUCUGGAAAUGUCUACUGAAUACAGAAAUGAACACACUGAAAUAUUUUCAUGCAUUGCCUCAGAGGAAGGGUGACCGAAGGAGAGCUCGAGAAACGGAAAGAGAAUGAGAACAGAGAGAGAUAAAGAAAAGCAUACAAAAUAUUUAUUGCUGCAUUUCCGUGCCUUCUCCACAAUAUUGAGGCCUGAAUUAGGUAGGUAGUUGAAAUCUCUCUAAAAGUGAGUCAGAUAUUGUGUCCGGAAUUGGUGGGUUCUUGAUCGCACUGACUUCAAGAAUGAAGCCGUGGACCCUCGCGGUGAGUGUUACAGCUCUUAAGGUGGCGCGUCUGGAGUCUGCCCCUUCUGAUGUUCAGAUGUGUUCGGAGUUUCUUUCUUCUGGUGGGUUCGUGGUCUCUCUGGCUCAGGAGUGAAGCUGCAGAUCUUCGCGGUGAGUGUUACAGCUCUUAAGGUAGCGUGUCUGGAGUUGUUCAUUUCUCCCUGUGGGCUCGUGGUCUUGCUGGGCUCAGGAGUGAAGCUGUAGAUCUUCGCAGUAAGUGUUACAGCUCAUAAAAGCAGCAUAGACCCAGAGUGAGCAGUAGCAAGAUUUAUUGCAAAGAGCGAAAGAACAAAGCUUCCACAGUGUGGAAGGGGACCCGAGCGGGUUGCCAAUGCUGGCUCGGGCAGCCUGUUUUUAUUCUUAUCUGGCCCCACCCACAUCCUGCUGAUUGGUAGAGCCGAGU